AGGGUGUAAACGCCGCAGACUUGGUGUUGGGAACCCUUCGGGGGUGCUCAGUGCCGGAGAGAAGUUGUUAAGUCUGCUACUUGGGGAGUACGUCCGCAAGGAUGAAACUUAAAGGAAUUGGCGGGGGAGCACCGCAACGGGAGGAGCGUGCGGUUUAAUUGGAUUCAACGCCGAAAAACUCACCAGCAGCGACUGUUACAUGAAAGUCAGGUUGAUGACCUUACUAGAUUUUCAGAGAGGAGGUGCAUGGCGUCAGUGACU
rnacentral:rRNA from 1 species